ensembl:lincRNA
AUGAGCAGGCGGCCUCCCUCCCACCCUCUGCAAUCUGAGGAACGCGGCGGAGGCUGCCUUCCACCGCCACUCCCGGGCACCCUCGAUCCUCACUCCCCAGUCAGCUCCGCCUGCUCCCCGGCCUGCUGCUGCCUGUCCGGCGCCCCGCCGGAGGGUCAGCGCCCAGAUGAGGCUGGCGGCAGGUUCCAGGGAAAGAACCCUAAGGUAUGCAGCCCCUCAGACAAACCCGGCCACUCCCGAAAGGAGCACGCGGGGAUGGAAAGCAGCCGCCCAUCUCGCAACACUUGUCCUUCCAGAGCCGGCAUUCAACAGCCCAAGAGAAUAAUUCACCCACUUCCAAAGAGGUUUGGAAAUUUGAGUCUCCUCAGCACCUAAGGGCGGAAGAGUGCGACACCUUUGAAGCCGAACUGGGGAGUUAACAUAACAAAGACACGUGCCUGAGGACCCAGGGGUUCCCAGCCACCCGGAAGAUAAACUUAAUUCCUCUCCACCUUGAGCAGGCCUUUUCCUUCCUCAUCUAGUCCACGUGACUCGAAACCCGUCUUCGAAAGCUACAUUCGGUUCCUAGCUUUGUUGGUGUGUCUUCCUGCCUUGGCCAGAAUGGCUUUGUUCGGAUACCUGCAAAUAAUUUGGUUAGCUAUGUACUUGCUACCACGUCAGGAAUAUUUAAAAGACAGAAGAAAAAGAAAACUCAUUGAGAAUUUUCUAAAGUUUACGACUUCCCAAGAUUACAUUUUAAAGUAGGAAAAAAAAAAUACUUUCAAAAUGUGGAAUAGAAAAUGCGCUUGAAUAGAAAUCCACAGAAGCCGGCCGUGGUGGUGCACGCCUGUAAUCCCAGCCCUCGGAGGCUGAGGCAGGAGGAUCGCUGUGAAUGAGAGACCAGCCUGGGCUACAUAGUGAGUUCCAGGUCAGUCUCAACUACAUAGUGAGACCGUGUCUCAAAAAAAAAAAAAAAAGAAAGAAAGAAAUCCACAGAUCUGUGUGCAUUUGGACCACCCAACGCCUUGGGUCAAGAAGGAAGCACCUGCGAACAUAGGGAGCUGGGAAGAGUGGCUGCUUAGUUUCUGCAAAACCGAGCUUUGCCAUAGUUGACUGCUACUGGGCACCGGGAGAGGCCUUAGCAUCCCCACCCCACCCCAUAGCGCCAUCCCAGUUCUUCAUUAAAGGGGAGGCAAUCACGACGGUCCAGGCGCAGUUUGUAAUACCUAAAGCUCAAGGUCAUCAGCACCUGAUGAAUAAACAGAGAGAGUCUACCAGUGCAAUGGGAUCCUAGUCCCCCCCCCAAAGGGAAUCCUGAGAAUGCUACAUCGUGAAUUUUGAAAAUACAAUGUUAAGUAAAACAUACUACGUUUUAAUUUUUAUGAAAUUCUCAAAAUCUUUAGAACUAGAAAGUUGGUUAGUGGUUGCUGUGGGCUGGGGAAUUAAGAUUGGAUAGUGACUGCGUGUGUUUCUUUGGGGGAUAAUGAAAGUAUACCAGAAUUAGGUAAUGGUGAUGGUUGUACACUCUACAGAUACCUUAAAACCCACUAAAUUGUACACUGUCAUAGGCUGAAUUUUAUGGUAUAUUAUAUCUCAAUACAGCUGUAAAAAAUAUAAUCUUCAGGGCUGGGAGUGCAGCUCCGUGGUAUUGUGGUUGCCUAGAAUGUACUUGGCCCUGGAUUUGAUCCCUAGCACCUGAAGAAAUGCAUAUAUCAGUCUUCAGAGUUUGUUUUGUUUUGUUUUUAAGACUGGGUGUCACUAAGUCGCUAAAUUGCCCAGUCUGGCCGGACUCAAACUUUUGAUCCUCCUGCCUCAGCCUCUCAGAAUGCCAGGAUUACAGGCAUGUGCCAUUGCACCCAGUUUCAGUAGUAUUUUCAUUCAAGUGCGUGCGUGUGUGUGUGUGUGUGUGUGUGUGUGUGUGUGUGUGUGUGAUACUGUGCACGGAUAUCCCAUGCUCUUUGAAGUCUUAGCUCAAAUCUCACACCAUUCCCAAGGUCUACUCUUGACUGCUCUUUUUAAAACUGCAGUGUGCCCCCUCUCCCUGGUCCUCACCUCCCUUGCCCUACCUCCUCCCACCAUGUAGCAUUUAUCGCCUUCUAACAUACUAAAUAAUUUCUUUAUUUUUGUCUGUCCUCUACUCACACAUGCCAGUGAACAAGCCCUAUAAUCGCAGGGACCUUUGUUUCAUUCACUAACAGGCGACUUGGCCAAGCAUAGACAGUACGUAUUUGUUGCAUGAAUUAAUGACAAAAUGAAUGAGUGGUAAACUCUUCGAUGUGCAUCCCUCCUAUUGUGCAGACUUUUAGAGCAGCUUGCCAACACUGUUUAGGAGGACUGCGUUCAUGAAACUAAAAUUAAUUCUGAGUGUGAGAAGAACAGUACCUCCCUCAAGAACUAUGAUGUAAACCGAGACACUGCUCAGAAAAGAAAUCGGUUUUAAUUCUUUAAAACUGUGCUUAAGAAGGGCCGGGCAUUUAGCUCAGUGGUUCUGCCACCUACCUCACAAGCACAAGGACCCAAGUUUGAUCCCCGGUUCAAAACAACAAAAAAACUGUGCUUAAGGAAAGGUAUGGUUAAUAAGAGAAGCUGGCAACACAGAGGUAACAACGGUUCAUCUCUCAGUGGCAUGAAAGCUGUUUAGAAAUGGAAGUGUUUACUAAGUAAUGAAGUCUCACCACAAUCUGGCAGGCAGUGCAGAGAGAUGGAAAUAACUUCAAAUAAAUGACAAAUAAGCCUUGCCAGCUAAGGGGCAAGGAUGGAAGUAGCAAACUGGAUCAAAUGAUAGGGGUAAAAAGAAGUAAUGCAUACUCAUUAUCUGGCAUGGCAAGUCCCUAGUAAAUCAUCCUGAGUGUACCUUAUUCCUUUCCCUAUUUAUCAGGCACUUCUCAGGUGAAAAUGACUGAGAACUAGUACGUUAGCAUCAGUUAAAGCUACCAGAUUUUUGGCAAAUCUCACAGACUUAGGCUAAACACCAUACAAAGCUUGAGAACAGUCCCCGCAUCAAAGUUGUCUAUAUGACCAAAUAAGGAAGUUUGGGUGUUUCAAGUUCACAAACAUAUGCUUUAAUACCUAAAGAGACUAUAAAUGUGCUAAAUAAAAGCAGACAUGGAUAGUCACUGCGGUGUUGUUUUUAAUAAUAAAAUAACCUAAGUGUAUACAUAAAAUAAAAUAGCACUUAAUAACCUAAGGGGAAUUGGUUAACUAAAUUAUGGUACAGCCAUUUAAUAUAUAAUGGGAUAUAUAUUUUAUAGCUAUUUAAAAAAAUAAACUCAAAGGGGAAGUGGGAAGGAGAGGGGAAAGGAAAUAAGGGAAAAGAAAAAAGAAAAAAAGGAAACAAAGUCUUUGUAAACAAGGAAGGUUGAAGGGGGUGAAGGGAGACCAGGGGUAUGGGUGAAAAACAAGAACCAAGAUACAUCAUGUAAAGGUACAAGAUCCCAAGGAUGAAUGUAACUGUAUUGUUUGCUUUAAAUGUACCAACAAACUUAAUGGGGGAAAAUUAAUAAAUAACAAAUAAUAAACUCUAAGGGUGGGGGGUUUAGCUCAGUGGUUCUGCCACCUGUCUCACAAGCGCAAGGUCCCGAGUCCGAUCACCGGUACCAAAAAACAAAAGUAAAACAGAUAAAAAAAAGAAACUCUAUGAACUCAUAUAGAAUGAUCUAUAAUAUGUUCUACUAGGCAAACAAGGGUGUGCAUAUUGUAUGCUACCAUGGAAGAGGGGAUGGGGCAUGGGAAAACUAGACACAUGAAGGUAUGGCUGGUACAGUGCUACACGCCUGUAAUUCCAGAGCUCUGGGAGGCUGAGGCAGGAGGAUCAAAUGUUUGAGCCCAGCCUGGGCAAUUUAAUGACAACAAAACUCUGUCUCAAAAUUUAAAAAGGCUGAGGAUGUAGCUCAGAGGGAAGGCCCUGGAUUCACUCCCUGAUACCUAAAAAAUUUUAAAAAAGAUUGUCUCUAGGGAGGCAUAUAAGUAACUGGGACGAAGGGGAAAGAGGAAGACCUGCUUUUCCCUGUAUAUUUGAACUUGGUGAAUAUUGCUACAUGCACAUCUAUUGCCCACUCAGAGGUAAUAAAAUAAAAGAUUAAUCCACUAAACCAACAAAUGACAGCAUUCUUGUUUGAUUGUUCGUUUUGUACCAGGAACCAAACUUGGGUCCUCGUGCCUGUAAGGCGGGGGGCAGAACCACUGAGCUAAACCCCUGUCCUAGCUUUCAUUUUCUGCAUGCCAUAAACUUUAUCAAAAAGCAAUAAAAUUGUGCCCCCAGAAAAUGUCCCACCAAAACUACUGGGGAAAGAAAGGUAAAAAGGCGCACAGGACCUCCUGUGCUAUUUUGGCAACUAUUUCUGAUGAUUUAAAAAAAUCGAAAUUAAACCAGGCCUGGUGACACAUGCCCGCUAUCCCAGCACUCUGGGAGACUGAGGCAAGAGGAUCGCAAGUUCAAGCACAACCUGGAUACCGGGAUAACUUAGUAAUUUAGUGAGACCGUGUGUCAAUGAAUAAAUAAAGGCUGGGGAUGUAGCUCAGUGCAAAGGCCCUGGAUUUGAUUUAAGAAAUUAAAUUAAAAGGAAUUGGCCAGUCCCUGGAUGCAAGUACUUCCUUUCUUUUUUCCUCCCUUCCUCCUGCAAACAUUUGUUAUUAUAUGAGACAAGUCAGUCAAAGAUGCUAAUAAACUCUAAUACACAUUUACUAUUUUAUAAAAUAAUUCAAGGCUUUGAAGCGCAUCGUGUUUCUUUCAGGUGAUUCAAAUUUAAGACAGGCUAGCGUUCUUCCACAGUAUGCAUAUCUAUUUCUGGAAACUUUCAUUUAUUGUAUUUAAACAUCAUAUAAUUCUCUUGAAAGGUACAAUAGUUGUUAUACAGACAAGUAGCGGCAGUUCUUUCAAAGCCCAUAGGAGUUUCUCUUGUGCCUUUGAAGUGCACCAUCAAUCUAAGUCUGCGCUGAGCCUUAAGGCAGAAGGCCGGUGGAGGCCCCAACUCAUCAGUGAUUUAAACCUUGCUUCAACCUGUUCCCUAAGGUGCAAGGGCCACCCAACCAGGAGUCAAAUU